GUCAGUGUGGUGUAGUGGUUUGAACACUGGACUAAGACUCAAGAGACCAAGGUUCAAAUCCCAGCUUGGCCA